UACGAAGGGGGCUAGCGUUGCUCGGAAUCACUGGGCGUAAAGGGUGCGUAGGCGGGUCUUUAAGUCAGGGGUGAAAUCCUGGAGCUCAACUCCAGAACUGCCUUUGAUACUGAAGAUCUUGAGUUCGGGAGAGGUGAGUGGAACUGCGAGUGUAGAGGUGAAAUGCGUAGAGAUCCGGAGGAACCCCAGAGGCGAAGGCGGCGCCCUGGCUCGCAACUGACGCUCAGACACGACAGCAUGGGGAGCGAACGGG
rnacentral:rRNA from 1 species